rnacentral:rRNA from 1 species
AGAGUUUGAUCCUGGCUCAGGACGAACGCUGGCGGCGUGCUUAACACAUGCAAGUCGAACGGAAAGGCCCUUCGGGGUACUCGAGUGGCGAACGGGUGAGUAACACGUGGGUGAUCUGCCCUGCACUUUGGGAUAAGCCUGGGAAACUGGGUCUAAUACCGAAUAUGACCAUGCACUUCCUGGUGUGUGGUGGAAGGCUUUUGCGGUGUGGGAUGGGCCCGCGGCCUAUCAGCUUGUUGGUGGGGUAAUGGCCUACCAAGGCGACGACGGGUAGCCGGCCUGAGAGGGUGACCGGCCACACUGGGACUGAGAUACGGCCCAGACUCCUACGGGAGGCAGCAGUGGGGAAUAUUGCACAAUGGGCGCAAGCCUGAUGCAGCGACGCCGCGUGAGGGAUGACGGCCUUCGGGUUGUAAACCUCUUUCAGCACAGACGAAGCGCAAGUGACGGUAUGUGCAGAAGAAGGACCGGCCAACUACGUGCCAGCAGCCGCGGUAAUACGUAGGGUCCGAGCGUUGUCCGGAAUUACUGGGCGUAAAGAGCUCGUAGGUGGUUUGUCGCGUUGUUCGUGAAAACUCACAGCUUAACUGUGGGCGUGCGGGCGAUACGGGCAGACUUGAGUACUGCAGGGGAGACUGGAAUUCCUGGUGUAGCGGUGGAAUGCGCAGAUAUCAGGAGGAACACCGGUGGCGAAGGCGGGUCUCUGGGCAGUAACUGACGCUGAGGAGCGAAAGCGUGGGGAGAGAACAGGAUUAGAUACCCUGGUAGUCC